rnacentral:rRNA from 1 species
AAUCCAUAGGUUAAUGAGGCGAACCGGGGGAACUGAAACAUCUAAGUACCCCGAGGAAAAGAAAUCAACCGAGAUUCCCCCAGUAGCGGCGAGCGAACGGGGAGGAGCCCAGAGCCUGAAUCAGCAUGUGUGUUAGUGGAAGCGUCUGGAAAGGCGCGCGAUACAGGGUGACAGCCCCGUACACAAAAGCGCAUGUGCUGUGAGCUCGAUGAGUAGGGCGGGACACGUGGUAUCCUGUCUGAAUAUGGGGGGACCAUCCUCCAAGGCUAAAUACUCCUGACUGACCGAUAGUGAACCAGUACCGUGAGGGAAAGGCGAAAAGAACCCCGGCGAGGGGAGUGAAAAAGAACCUGAAACCGUGUACGUACAAGCAGUGGGAGCACCCUUUGGGUGUGACUGCGUACCUUUUGUAUAAUGGGUCAGCGACUUAUAUUCUGUAGCAAGGUUAACCGAAUAGGGGAGCCGGAGGGAAACCGAGUCUUAACCGGGCGUUAAGUUGCAGGGUAUAGACCCGAAACCCGGUGAUCUAGCCAUGGGCAGGUUGAAGGUUGGGUAACACUAACUGGAGGACCGAACCGACUAAUGUUGAAAAAUUAGCGGAUGACCUGUGGCUGGGGGUGAAAGGCCAAUCAAACCGGGAGAUAGCUGGUUCUCCCCGAAAGCUAUUUAGGUAGCGCCUCGUGAAUUCAUCUCCGGGGGUAGAGCACUGUUUCGGCUAGGGGGCCAUCCCGGCUUACCAACCCGAUGCAAACUGCGAAUACCGGAGAAUGUUAUCACGGGAGACACACGGCGGGUGCUAACGUCCGUCGUGAAGAGGGAAACAACCCAGACCGCCAGCUAAGGUCCCAAAGUCAUGGUUAAGUGGGAAACGAUGUGGGAAGGCCCAGACAGCCAGGAUGUUGGCUUAGAAGCAGCCAUCAUUUAAAGAAAGCGUAAUAGCUCACUGGUCGAGUCGGCCUGCGCGGAAGAUGUAACGGGGCUAAACCAUGCACCGAAGCUGCGGCAGCGACACUGUGUGUUGUUGGGUAGGGGAGCGUUCUGUAAGCCUGCGAAGGUGGCCUGUGAGGGUUGCUGGAGGUAUCAGAAGUGCGAAUGCUGACAUAAGUAACGAUAAAGCGGGUGAAAAGCCCGCUCGCCGGAAGA